GGUCUUUGACAUAUUUGAUACGGCAACAACAGAGAUAAUCAACGUGGGCGGUGAGCCCACAAGUGACUAACAAUAUAGCUUGCAAGCUUAGACCUAUCGUGCUAAGCGCUGACCCAGCAUAAGCGGUGAAGCCCCUAGAGGGUGAUGAACGCAGAGGCUGGCAACCCCGCCCCUCGCAAAGGGCUUGCAAGCGC
ncrna:unclassified sequences DTF2693 RNA